UUUGGUAUUGAUCCUCCAAGAGGGGUGCUGCUCUAUGGUCCUCCAGGCACUGGUAAGACCAUGCUUGCUAAAGCUGUGGCACAUCACACUACUGCUGCUUUUAUCAGAGUGGUUGGCUCAGAGUUUGUGCAGAUGUACUUGGGUGAGGGCCCAAGGAUGGUUCAGGAUGUAUUCCGCUUGGCUAAAGAGAAUGCCCCGGCUAUAAUAUUCAUUGAUGAGGUUGACGCCAUAGCCACUGCUCGAUUCGAUGCUCAGACCGGGGCUGACCGAGAAGUUCAGCGAAUUCUGAUGGAGCUACUCAAUCAAAUGGAUGGAUUUGAUCAGACAGUGAAUGUGAAGGUUAUAAUGGCGACCAAUCGGGCGGAUACUCUAGAUCCUGCUCUGUUGCGUCCAGGAAGGUUGGACAGGAAAAUUGAGUUCCCUCUGCCGGACCGGAGGCAGAAGAGGCUUGUUUUCCAAGUUUGUACUGCUAAAAUGAACUUGAGCGACGAGGUUGAUUUGGAAGAUUAUGUCUCCAGGCCGGAUAAAAUCAGUGCUGCUGGUAUCGCUGCCAUUUGCCAGGAAGCUGGCAUGCAUGCUGUCCGCAAGAAUCGGUAUGUUAUCCUCCCAAAGGACUUUGAGAAGGGUUACCCAACGAACGUCAAGAAGCCUGAAACAGACUUUGACUUCUACAAAUGA
rnacentral:rRNA from 1 species